rnacentral:rRNA from 1 species
GAUGAACGCUGGCGGCGUGCCUAAUACAUGCAAGUAGAACGCUGAAGCUUGGUGCUUGCACCGAGCGGAUGAGUUGCGAACGGGUGAGUAACGCGUAGGUAACCUGCCUCUUAGCGGGGGAUAACUAUUGGAAACGAUAGCUAAUACCGCAUAAAAGUCGAUAUCGCAUGAUAUUGAUUUGAAAGGUGCAAAUGCAUCACUAAGAGAUGGACCUGCGUUGUAUUAGCUAGUUGGUGAGGUAACGGCUCACCAAGGCGACGAUACAUAGCCGACCUGAGAGGGUGAUCGGCCACACUGGGACUGAGACACGGCCCAGACUCCUACGGGAGGCAGCAGUAGGGAAUCUUCGGCAAGGGGGGCAACCCUGACCGAGCAACGCCGCGUGAGUGAAGAAGGUUGUCGGAUCGUAAAGCUCGGUUGUAAGAGAAGAACGAGUGUGAGAGUGGAAAGUUCACACUGUGACGGUAACUGACCAGAAAGGGACGGCUAACUACGUG